rnacentral:tRNA from 2 species
GGGAUCGAAGCUGAGCUGGUGCUAGCGGCCGAUUGUUAAUCGGACGGUGGUUGGUUCAAUUCCAACCGAUCCCG